GAUGAACGCUAGCUACAGGCUUAACACAUGCAAGUCGAGGGGCAGCGCAGUGUAGUAAUACAUGGGCGGCGACCGGCGCACGGGUGCGUAACGCGUAUCCAACCUUCCCGUUACUCAGGGAUAGCCUUCCGAAAGGGAGAUUAAUACCUGAUGGUGUUCAAAUUCCGCAUGUUAUUUGAACUAAAGAUUUAUCGGUAACGGAUGGGGAUGCGUGACAUUAGGUAGAUGGCGGGGUAACGGCCCACCAUGCCUACGAUGUCUAGGGGUUCUGAGAGGAAGGUCCCCCACACUGGAACUGAGACACGGUCCAGACUCCUACGGGAGGCAGCAGUGAGGAAUAUUGGUCAAUGGCCGGAAGGCUGAACCAGCCAAGUAGCGUGAAGGAUGAAGGUUCUAUGGAUUGUAAACUUCUUUUAUACGGGAAUAAAACCUCCCACGUGUGGGAGCUUGUAUGUACCGUAUGAAUAAGCAUCGGCUAACUCCGUGCCAGCAGCCGCAGUAAAAC
rnacentral:rRNA from 1 species